rnacentral:rRNA from 1 species
GGGGGCAACCCUGAUCCAGCAAUGCCGCGUGAGUGAAGAAGGCCUUCGGGUUGUAAAGCUCUUUUGUCAGGGAAGAAACACCGGCUCUAACACAGUCCGGGAAUGACGGUACCUGAAGAAUAAGCACCGGCUAACUACGUGCCAGCAGCCGCGGUAAUACGUAGGGUGCAAGCGUUAAUCGGAAUUACUGGGCGUAAAGCGUGCGCAGGCGGUUAUACAAGACAGGCGUGAAAUCCCCGGGCUUAACCUGGGAAUGGCGCCUGUGACUGUAUAGCUAGAGUGUGUCAGAGGGGGGUAGAAUUCCACGUGUAGCAGUGAAAUGCGUAGAUAUGUGGAGGAAUACCAAUGGCGAAGGCAGCCCCCUGGGAUAACACUGACGCUCAUGCACGAAAGCGUGGGGAGCAAACAGGAUUAGAUACCCUGGUAGUCCACGCCCUAAACGAUGCUGACUAGUUGUUCGGGAUUUACAUCCCUGAGUAACG